rnacentral:rRNA from 1 species
GAUGAACGCUGGCGGCGUGCCUAAUACAUGCAAGUCGAGCGAACGGACGAGAAGCUUGCUUCUCUGAUGUUAGCGGCGGACGGGUGAGUAACACGUGGAUAACCUACCUAUAAGACUGGGAUAACUUCGGGAAACCGGAGCUAAUACCGGAUAAUAUUUUGAACCGCAUGGUUCAAAAGUGAAAGACGGUCUUGCUGUCACUUAUAGAUGGAUCCGCGCUGCAUUAGCUAGUUGGUAAGGUAACGGCUUACCAAGGCAACGAUGCAUAGCCGACCUGAGAGGGUGAUCGGACACACCGGAACUGAGACACGGUCCAGACUCCUACGGGAGGCAGCAGUAGGGAAUCUUCCGCAAUGGGCGAAAGCCUGACGGAGCAACGCCGCGUGAGUGAUGAAGGUCUUCGGAUCGUAAAACUCUGUUAUUAGGGAAGAACAUAUGUGUAAGUAACUGUGCACAUCUUGACGGUACCUAAUCAGAAAGCCACGGCUAACUACGUG